UACAGAGGGGGCAAGCGUUGUUCGGAAUUACUGGGCGUAAAGGGCACGUAGGCGGCCAACUAAGUCAGACGUGAAAUCCCCAGGCUCAACCUGGGAACUGCGUCUGAUACUGGAUGGCUCGAGUUCGGGAGAGGGAAGUGGAAUUCCAGGUGUAGCGGUGAAAUGCGUAGAUAUCAGGAGGAACACCAGCGGCGAAGGCGGCUUUCUGGGACGAUAACUGACGCUGAGAACGCGAAAGCGUGGGGAGCAACAGG
rnacentral:rRNA from 1 species